AACCUGCGGAAGGAUCAUUAUCG
rnacentral:rRNA from 1 species